UACGUAGGCAGCGAGCGUUGUUCGGAGUUACUGGGCGUAAAGAGUGCGUAGGCGGUUUUCUAAGUUUGGUGUGAAAUCUCCCGGCUUAACUGGGAGGGUGCGCCGAAAACUGGAAGGCUUGAGUAUGGGAGAGGUAAGCGGAAUUCCUGGUGUAGCGGUGAAAUGCGUAGAUAUCAGGAGGAAUACCGAUGGCGAAGGCAGGUCUCUGGGCUGACACUGACGCUCAUGCACGAAAGCGUGGGGAGCAAACAGG
rnacentral:rRNA from 1 species